GGCGACGUGAUAGCCAUGCAUGCUCUGAUAAUUGCGACUCUCGUAAAAUCUGCGAACGGCUCCGUAUAUCUGUUGUCACCAAUAGCCCAUUACUACCCUUAGAUGUAAAUGCCUUGUGCCUAGCGGAUAUGGUUCGGUAAUUCUGUCAGUAAUACGUAAACCGACCAGUAUUCGGUGCCCCCCUCAGCAAGACCCGUCUCUAGGGACGGUCAAGACCAUUCGGUCGUCUCUGAGGUUUAGGGCCGGACUCGUAACAGGACAACGCGACACGACCUUGGUCGUGGUGCGUGAGUGCCUACGAGAGAACCUGACCACGCAAGUGGCAGAGGCUUUGGGCUUCAGACCUAUCAACUUGAAGGCUGGGGGAAGACCAGUCUUGGUGAUAACGGGUACAGAGUAAA
rnacentral:rRNA from 1 species